UUGACUGUGCUAAGGUAGCAUAAUAAAUUGGCUUUUAAUUGAAGUCGGGAAUGAAAGGGUGUUUGGAGUUACUCUGUCUUAUUUUUAUUUUUUAAAAAUUACUAAUGAGGUGAAAAUUCCUCAAUAUUUUUUGAUAGACGAGAAGACCCUAAGAAUUAUUACAACUAUUAAAAAUUUAAUAAAAGUUUUUGUUGGGGCAACAAUUUUGAAAAUAAUAACCAAAGUUAAAUUUAUUUCAAACAUAAAAAUUAUAAUUAAAAUGAAUUUAAUUACCUUAGGGAUAACAGCAUAAUUAUAUUUUAUAGAUUGUGACCUCGAUGUUGGAUUAAGGCCU
rnacentral:rRNA from 1 species